CUCAACCAUUAAACAAGACAUUUAACCAUAAUGGCAGCUCAGUGACUCCCGAAUGCCUUGGAACCCCUGGUCGAUGCUGCUUGUACAUGUAGACACCCGUGCUGCAGAGUCCAGCAACAGCAUCCAGAAAUUACUUGUGUGAAUUAUUCAAUAGUGAAGGCAAGGGGGGGCGUUGUUAAAUUAGGGGACGCAAAAAAAAUAAAUUAAAAAUGGGGGGAGAGAUAACUGUAUAGUAGCACAUGGAGAAUGGCGAAAGAACUCAAACAUUGGCUGUUUUCAAUUUACAAAUCACUUUGUGGAACGUUGUGCUGCUCCCUAGUUUACUUGGAGUCUG